UACGAGGGGGGCAAGCGUUGUUCGGAAUUAUUGGGCGUAAAGGGCGCGUAGGCGGUUUGACAAGUCUGAUGUGAAAUCUAUGGGCUCAACCCAUAGCCUGCAUUAGAAACUGUCGGGCUUGAGUAUGGGAGAGGGUAGUGGAAUUCCCGGUGUAGUGGUGAAAUGCGUAGAUAUCGGGAGGAACACCAGUGGCGAAGGCGACUACCUGGCCUGUUCUUGACGCUGAGGCGCGAAAGCUAGGGGAGCAAACGGG
rnacentral:rRNA from 1 species